UACAGAGGUCUCAAGCGUUGUUCGGAUUCAUUGGGCGUAAAGGGUGCGUAGGCGGCGCGGUAAGUCGGGUGUGAAAUCUCGGGGCUUAACUCCGAAACUGCAUUCGAUACUGCCGUGCUUGAGGACUGGAGAGGAGACUGGAAUUUACGGUGUAGCGGUGAAAUUCGUAGAUAUCGGGAGGAACACCGGUGGCGAAGGCGGCGACCUGGGUAGAUACUGACGCUGAGGCGCGAAAGCGUGGGGAGCAAACAGG
rnacentral:rRNA from 1 species